rnacentral:rRNA from 1 species
UUAUGCUGAUAAGAGCGUAUGGUGGAUGCCUUGGCACUAAGAGCCGAUGAAAGACGUGAUAAGCUGCGAAAAGCUUCGGGGAGGGGCAAAUACCCAUUGAUCCGGAGAUUUCUGAAUGGGGAAACCUACCUGAGCAAACCUCAGGUAUCCUGACGCCAAUCCAUAACGUCAGGAAGGGAACCCGGUGAACUGAAACAUCUAAGUAGCCGGAGGAAGAGAAAACAACAUGUGAUUCUGUGAGUAGCGGCGAGCGAAAACGGAAGAGCCCAAACCAGUGUGCGUGCAUGCUGGGGUUCGGACCGCGGAAUUGAUUCAACAAGUUUAGCAGAACGGUUUUGGGAAAGCCGGCCAGAGAGGGUGAAAGCCCCGUAAGCGAAAGAUGAGUUGACAUGGCGGUAUCCAGAGUAGGUCGAGACACGUGGAACCUUGACUGAAUAUGCGGGGACCACCCCGUAAGGCUAAAUACUCCUUAGUGACCGAUAGCGCAUAGUACUGUGAAGGAAAGGUGAAAAGGACCCCGGGAGGGGAGUGAAAAAGAACCUGAAACCAUAUGUUUACAAGCUGUGGAAGAGCUUUAUAUGCUCAACCGCGUACUUUUUGUAGAACGGUCCGGCGAGUUACGCUGGCUGGCGAGGUUAAGCACUGAAGGUGUGGAGCCGAAGGGAAACCAAGUCUGAAUAGGGCGAAGAGUCAGUCGGAGUAGACCCGAAACCGGGUGAUCUAUCCAUGUCCAGGUUGAAGUUGCCGUAAAAGGCAAUGGAGGACCGAACCCACAUCCGUUGAAAAGGGUGGGGAUGAGGUGUGGAUAGGGGAGAAAUUCCAAUCGAACCCGGAGAUAGCUGGUUCUCCUCGAAAUAGCUUUAGGGCUAGCCUCAUAUUAGUCUUGUGGAGGUAGAGCACUGAAUUUCCGCGGGGGCGUCAAAGCUUACCAAAGAAUAUCAAACUCCGAAUGCCAUAAAGAUGAUGUAUGGGAGUCAGACUAUACGAGAUAAGUUGGAUAGUCAAAAGGGAAAGAGCCCAGACCACCAGUUAAGGUCCCAAAGUAUGUGUUAAGUGGAAAAGGAUGUGGGAUUUCAUAGACAACUAGGAUGUUGGCUCAGAAGCAGCCAUACAUUCAAAGAGUGCGUAACAGCUCACUAGUCGAGAGGUCCUGCGCCGAAAAUGUCCGGGGCUAAAACACAACACCGAAGCUGUGGAUUUAUACACAAGUAUAAGUGGUAGAGGAGCAUUCUUAAUACCGACGAAGCUGUACCGAAAGGAGCAGUGGAGGGAUAAGAAGAGAGAAUGCCGGAAUGAGUAGCGAGAGUAAGGUGAGAAUCCUUACGGCCGAAUAUCUAAGGUUUCCAGCGUAAAGCUGAUCUGCGCUGGGUAAGUCGGGGCCUAAGGCGAGGUCGAAAGACGUAGUCGAUGGAUAACAGGUUGAGAUUCCUGUACCGCAUGGUAACAGAACUGUGGGGACGCAUGGACAAAGCUCGAGCCGGGAAUGGAAAGACCGGUACAAGCGAAGGAGGAGUACGGUUGGCAAAUCCGCCGUAUAAUCCAAGAGCGUGAUGUGGAGUGAACUAGAAGUAACGAAGCGAGUAGAGUCUGUGCCGAGAAAAGCCGCUAUUGUUUGCCAUGUGCCCGUACCGUAAACCGACACAGGUGGAUGAGGAGAGAAUCCUAAGGCCGACGGAAGAAGCAUUGUUAAGGAAUUCGGCAAAAUGACCCCGUAACUUCGGGAGAAGGGGUGCCUGAGAAAUCAGGCCGCAGAGAAUAGGCUCAAGCAACUGUUUAGCAAAAACACAGGUCUAUGCGAAACCGUAAGGUGAUGUAUAUGGGCUGACGCCUGCCCGGUGCUGGAAGGUUAAGAGGAGAGGUUAGAGCAAUCGAAGCUUUGAAUUGAAGCCCCAGUAAACGGCGGCCGUAACUAUAACGGUCCUAAGGUAGCGAAAUUCCUUGUCGGGUAAGUUC